CUUCACGCCAGUCCCACGAGCAAGACUGUCUCGCCGCGCCACGCCGGAGUAAACAAAGUGAGCUCGUGUGUUAGCACUCCGGGCUGUCACUGCUAUUAUUGAGUGACGGGAGGUGGCGGUCACCAGACAUAAGAAGCAUACUUGAGUCUGGCCUUGUACUCUCACCUGCUGUGCCUUCGUUAACUGCCGAGCCUUCCGUCUGUGCCCCGGGGAUGAUAUGGCUGACUGGACACGGUGACGCCCGCCCUGUGUGAUAUUGCCUGCAGCACUUUCCCCACUGGUACUCCAUCAGCAUCAUCAUCGCCUGUCUGGUGCUGACACUCGGGCGCGUUGUGAUAGUUUAUUUACUAUAGUGAGUUUGCGUGUGUGCGUGUGUGCGUUCCGCGGUGGUGUCAAGAAUCCUUAAUAGGACCAGUGCAGGUGUGAACGGCGACGUCCAUCAGUCAGGAUUUCGUUACAUUACAUUACUCUUUGAAAUAUCCUAAGUCCACGCUAGCCAUGGUCAGAGACUUGAGUUUAUGCAGAGUACAAAGAACGAGAACAGGAACAAGAACGUAAAUACCAUCAAGGGCAAGAACAAGAUGAUAAUAAGGAUAACAAUGAGAUAAGCAGCAGCAGAGGAAGAAGAACCUGAACUGUGCAUCAACAAGCAACCACAACCUGGAUCAAGAUGAGGAACUUAUAUGACACGCCUUCGGCCGCUGCAUGCCCUGAGUAUUUGUCCCCCCCUCCCUUCCCCCCUCGACAUCUUGAUGUAAGCCCACUAAGCCUAUUCUUGAGUCAUGUUUGGCAAGACUCCCCACUAAUCCUAUACCCUCUUGACCCCACCUCCUCCUGCCCUCAUCCUUCUACUUCCCUCUUGAACCCUCCUACCCCAUCCACCUUUUCCUUCUCUUCUCAACCAGUUCCGUAAUCUGUCCCGGCCACCCGCACACACGCACGCACGCCAGGCCUCCCGCCACUACA